rnacentral:rRNA from 1 species
UACGUAGGGUGCAGGCGUUAAUCGGAAUUACUGGGCGUAAAGGGCGCGUAGGCGGCCUUCUAAGUCGGACGUGAAAUCCCUCGGCUUAACCGAGGAACUGCGUCCGAUACUGAAAGGCUUGAAUCCGGGAGAGGGAUGUGGAAUUCCAGGUGUAGCGGUGAAAUGCGUAGAUAUCUGGAGGAACACCGGUGGCGAAGGCGGGUCUCUGGGCAAUUCCUGACGCUGAGGCGCGAAAGCGUGGGGAGCAAACGGG